rnacentral:rRNA from 1 species
AGCUCCAAUAGCGUAUAUUAAAGUUGUUGCAGUUAAAAAGCUCGUAGUUGGAUUUCUGGCAGGAGCGUCCGGUCUCACACUCAGUGCGGGAACUUGGAUGUCUCUGGCCAUCUUUGGGGAUAUCCUGUUUGGCAUUAAGUUGUCGGGCAGGGGAUACCCAUCGUUUACUGUGAAAAAAUUAGAGUGUUUAAAGCAGGCUUAUGCCGUUGAAUAUAUUAGCAUGGAAUAAUAAGAUAGGACGUAGGUACUAUUUUGUUGGUUUGCGCACCCACGUAAUGAUUAAUAGAGACAGGCGGGGCUAUUCGUAUUGCAUUGUCAGAGGUGAAAUUCUUGGAUUUCUGCAAGACGAACUACUGCGAAAGCAUUUAGCAAGGAUGUUUUCA